CCCUACAUGGCAAAAGGCUUGGCAGACGUGACAAAGUGAAGAGUCUUGAGAUGGGGAGAUGAUCCUGCAUUGUCUGGAUGGGCUGGGUGUGGUCGUGACAGUUUUCAUAAGAGGGCUGCAGGACUACACUUUCUUCCUGAGAGGGUUCCUAACUUCUCUGAAGUCAAGUUGAGCGUCCACAUCUAAAGCCCCAGGUAAGUUCAUGGUGACCAGGACUCCAGUUAGUGGUUACUUGUCUAUCUCCACAAGGAUAUUUCCUACAACAACAGGAGUUUGGGUACCUCCAGAAGAAAUGCUUGGGCCUCAGCAA
rnacentral:lncRNA from 1 species